rnacentral:rRNA from 7 species
AAAUUGAAGAGUUUGAUCAUGGCUCAGAUUGAACGCUGGCGGCAGGCCUAACACAUGCAAGUCGAACGGUAACAGGAAGCAGCUUGCUGCUUCGCUGACGAGUGGCGGACGGGUGAGUAA